GUACACUCCUGCGGGAGGCAGCAGUGGGGAAUUUUGGACAAUGGGCGAAAGCCUGAUCCAGCAAUGCCGCGUGAGUGAAGAAGGCCUUCGGGUUGUAAAGCUCUUUUGUCAGGGAAGAAACGGUGAGAGCUAAUAUCUUUUGCUAAUGACGGUACCUGAAGAAUAAGCACCGGCUAACUACGUGCCAGCAGCCGCGGUAAUACGUAGGGUGCAAGCGUUAAUCGGAAUUACUGGGCGUAAAGCGUGCGCAGGCGGUUUUGUAAGUCUGAUGUGAAAUCCCCGGGCUCAACCUGGGAAUUGCAUUGGAGACUGCAAGGCUAGAAUCUGGCAGAGGGGGGUAGAAUUCCACGUGUAGCAGUGAAAUGCGUAGAUAUGUGGAGGAACACCGAUGGCGAAGGCAGCCCCCUGGGUCAAGAUUGACGCUCAUGCACGAAAGCGUGGGGAGCAAACAGGAUUAGAAACCCUAGUAGUCCCA
rnacentral:rRNA from 1 species